rnacentral:rRNA from 1 species
CCUACGGGAGGCAGCAGUGAGGAAUAUUGGUCAAUGGACGAGAGUCUGAACCAGCCAAGUAGCGUGAAGGAUGACUGCACAAUGGGUUGUAAACUUCUUUUAUAAAGGAAUAAAACGAGGCACGUGUGCCUUUUUGCAUGUACUUUAUGAAUAAGGAUCGGCUAACUCCGUGCCAGCAGCCGCGGUAAUACGGAGGAUCCGAGCGUUAUCCGGAUUUAUUGGGUUUAAAGGGAGCGUAGAUGGGUUGUUAAGUCAGUUGUGAAAGUUUGCGGCUCAACCGUAAAAUUGCAAUUGAUACUGGCAGUCGUGAGUACAGUUGAGGUAAGCGGAAUUCGUGGUGUAGCGGUGAAAUGCUUAGAUAUCACGAAGAACCCCGAUUGCGAAGGCAGCUUACUAAACUGUGACUGACAUUGAUGCUCGAAAGUGUGGGUAUCAAACAGGAUUAGAUACCCCUGUAGUC